rfam:Gossypium raimondii Chr02_contig_996, whole genome shotgun sequence.
AAUAGGAGUAUGGCAAAUCAGAUUUUUUCUCUUAAUUUUCAACCUUUUCCUCUCAAAAAAUUCAAAUCCAACUAAAAAUACAAAAUCAGGAGAAAAAAUCUAAUUUAUCAUGCACCUAUU